GGAAGAGAAGAGAUGGCAAGAUGUUGGCAUAGCUGUUAAUGUUUAUGGGCCUGCUAUGCCUCCAUAUUGCCAUUUCUGCAC
rfam:Danio rerio chromosome 7, GRCz11 reference primary assembly.